UUCCUGGCUGUCCAGUGGCUAGAACUCUGUGCUUUCACUGCAGUGCCCCGGGUUCAAUCCCUGGCUAGGGAA
rnacentral:tRNA from 1 species